AUUGAACGCUGGCGGCACGCUUUACACAUGCAAGUCGGACGAGUGGCGAACGGGUGAGUAACAUAUCGGACCGUACCGAGUAAUGGGGUAUAACUAAUCGAAAGCUUAGCUAAUACCGCAUGUUAUUCGAGCGGCCGAUAGCUGAUUAGCUGGUUGGUGGGGUAAAGGCCUACCAAGGCGACGAUCAGUAGCGGGUCUGAGAGGAUGAUCCGCCACACUGAUGCUGAGAUGCGGCCAAGACGCAUACGCGAGGCAGCAGUGGGGAAUUUUGUCGAAUGGGCACAAUCCUGAUCAAGCAAUGCGGGGUGUCUGAAGAAUGCCGUCGGGUUGUAAAGGACUUUUGUCAGGCAAGCGGUACCUGCAGAAUAAGCACCGGCUAACUACGUGCCAGCAGCCGCGGUAAUUC
rnacentral:rRNA from 1 species